AUUUGACCUAAAAUUUUAAAUCUUAUAUACGUCUGACGUAUAUACGUGUUUUUGCUCAAUCCUACAAAUGUGUUUCCAUCGAUAAAUUAUAUAAGAAGAAUACCAUACUAGGAAGAAAUAAAAGAAAAAAAUGGUAGUUUCAAGGUACUAUCUAUGCUUUUAGAAUGGAAAUAUUUUAUUGAUGAACCUUCGCGUCGUCAACAUUUUGAACUAAGAGAACAUGAUAAAAUAUUUACUGGAAGCUUUUUCAUAUAAUAACAUACUGAAACUUCUAGUCAUCUACACAUAUGUAUGAAAGCUUUUCUAUAUAACGUUCAUACCACACAACAGAGAAAUCAACAAAACAAUAGAAACACAGAAAUGAAGGGCAAGUUGUGGUUUAUUGCUUCACUUUUGGUUCUAUCUUUGCUGUUUUCACUUGAGACGAUCUCAGCUCAGCCAUAUAAAUUUCGCAAAAUGAGUGAGUUCUAGCAACUAUUUACCAUUCGAUUUGCUUUUUGUUUAUCAACAUUUCGUAGAGCCAAUAAUUAAGAAAUAUAUAUCUACAAAUUUAAACCCCAUGAGUUCAUUAGAAGGAUCUAGAGUUUUUAGGUUGAUGAUAAAACUACAAAACAUAAUGAUAGUCUGAAGUGAAAUAAGGUAUUUACUAAGCUAUAUGUUUUGUACAUUUAUUUCUGUAUAAGAUGAAAUAAGAGAUAUGAUUCAUAUUCACAAGACAAGAAAGAUCCAAACACCAGGCAGUGUGACGAAGCGUGCCGGCCAAGGCUCAGACUCUAACAAAGGAGGUUCCCCAAACGCCGGCUAAAGUGUCUAGACGACCGGCCAAAGCAUAUUCGUACAUCGCUUAUUUUUAUAUUUUGUGUAAUUUGUUAUUAACCCUGAUAUCAAGAAAAGUUCAAACAGGGUAUAAAAAAGUUUUUUUUGUUUGACUUAUAUAAACAUUUUUUUAUAUGGUUCGCGCGAUAUUUUGAAAUUUAGCUCGAAUAAAUUCGAUCGAAAACUUAGUCAACUUUUACAAAAGUUUGAUACAAAUUAAAAAUUAGUUCAAUUUUGCUUGAUCCAAAAUACCAUGUAAAUAUAGUCUAAUCUCAGCAGAAAUAUUUGAUCAUGACUUGUAUGAUUAUACGUAGCAUGUGUUUCUUAAUUAAUAGAACUUUUCUGACGCGCAAAAUUUAUUUAAUAGCUUAUGUAAAACUGAAGUUGUAUAUUUGAUUGAAAUCUAUCUCACACAAUAUAUAGAACGUAUCACCAGAAAAAUGAAGGGCAGGUUAUGUUUGAUUGUUUCGCUUUGAUUCUCUAUCUGACGAUUUCUUCAUUAGCCGUUUUAGCUCAAUCAUACAAGUUCCGUAAGUAUUGUUCAUAUUUUUCAUUCUCUUUCCUAUUUAUGUCCGAUGAGAAGUUAUUAGUGUGAGAAUUUAGGUUAAGAACAUGAAGAUCAGAUGAACAUAUGAAGAACAAGAGAGAGAAUAGAGAGAGAGUUUAUGAAGGAUGAAAUGAUUUUCCUUAAUCUUGACAAUGAUGGCUAGUUGGCUACAAAAGAUUAUAAAUAUGUUUAGUUUUCUAGAGCAAUCAAACAAACUAUGAUGACUAAAAACUAAUAUAUAAGUAAAUAUCGGAGUUACUGUUUACGGAGUUAUUGUUCACUUUAACAAUAUUUUUUACCAGAAUCCUCUUGAAGUCUAUUGAACUCUCUUGAACUCUUUUGAACUCUCUUCGCCUAUUUUUUAUCAUUUCAUGUCAACAAUUAGGUUACUAAUAAUGAAACCAUAUAAAAGAGAGUAAGAAGCAUGAUAACAUUUGCUACUUUUACAUGUAAUAUUAGUAUAUACACCAAUUCAUCUUUUCAUAUUUAAAAAUUUAUAGAAGAAGAAAACAUAGCAAAAACAGUCCACAUUCGAAAGAUAAUGAAGAUCGGAGCUCCUCGGAGUAAAUCGCCAAUGGGGUGGGAGUGACUCGCCUCAAGCCCCAGGCCCAUAUGCAGUCUAAGGCGUCACAUAUUUUUAUAUUUGUUUUUGUAUGAACGUUAUAGUUUAAUUGAAAAAAAAUGAUAAGCAUCAAAUUGAUAGCCGGCUGGCUCGUAUUUUUCAAGUUUUUAAAGUUGUAAAAAUUGAUCUUUUCCUUUUUUGGAUAAUUGAAAUAAUAUGAACCAUUUUUUUAUAGAUAUGAAAGAAAAUUAUUUGAUUUUAAUAUUUAAUUAAGUAGUUCUGGUUAAUUAGAUAGCUGGAUGCUCUAUUACUUAGUAGUCUACUAAUAAUACAUUCUGAAACUUGCUCACACGUUUUGUUGCUCUAAAAAGAAAUAUAUAUUAGCUUUCUAACAGGAAUUAAAGCAAAACUAGAAGAAAAUAUGAAGGGAGCGGUGUCGUUGAUUGCUUCUUUGUUACUUCUCUCUUUGAUGUCUUCAUCCGAUGCAAUUUCACUUCAGCCAUAUGAAUUACGCAAACUCAGUGAGUAGUAUUUAUAUGUAUCGUUCAGUUUGUUACGCAAAUAUAUGUAUAUAUACGACGGUUAAAGCACAUUUUAUUAUCACAUUUUCUAUCACAUUUCAAUUUUAUUACUAUGAUCAAAUAAUAUGGAGUAUGAAUGGUUGGAUAGGUUUCUAGUAAAACUAGAAAUCAUAUGUGCCAUUUUUACAUGACUGCAUGCCAGUAUCAAGUUAUCAACUUAAUUUUCUUUUUGUUUAAUAGAAGAAGAUAUUGAAACACCAUGUAGUAAGUCGCCAUCUGCGGGACAAUGGAGUACCAAUACGCAAACCACACGCAAAGGCAAACCUUGUAAGAAUCCGUCCUCCAUGGGCAAUGGAGACUAGUUUUUAAGGUGAAUGUACAUAUACUUUGCAAGUAGUAUAUACUUUGUAAAGUUGCAUAUACUUUUCAUUUGUUUGUUUCUGUAAUGUUGUGAUUUAUGAGUCCUAAAGCUAGAGGAAAAGAAAAAUACAAUAUGUUGAUAAGUCGCAUUUUUUACCACGUCCAGCCAACUUGUCUAGUUCAAUCGUGUGAACUGUGAAAAACAACAAAAAUAGGAAACUUAACCCACAGGAAAAUGCGUACUUGUUUUCAAAGUCUAGAAAUGGAUGAGGUAUGUAUUAUAAUUUUUCUUCAAAGGGACUCUAAAACCAUGUUACACGAUCUCUAUGUAUUUUCUAUGAAGAUUACUAGAUGUGAUAGAACAUAAACAUGGAUUUGAAGUCCGGUCGUCCACUGUCUUGCGAUUUAGUUAAGUAUUAUGUUCUUGCGUGUGUGAAAAGCCUACUUGUUUGGAAAUUUUCAGUCAUGCGGUGAAAAGCGAAUCUCUUUCUGGUAAAAGAGUGUUGUUUUUUCUUGGAAAUAUUUAGUUUAAAAAGAUAUUAUCAUUAUAAAGCUUGAAUAAUACAUCAAAGAAAGAAAACUUGACUAGUAAUGGUGAAUAUUUCGUCAACGAUUUGAUCGGAUAUAAAUAGUACCCAAUAAGCGAUGAUAUUCACUAAGUUUGUAAUUUGACAGAUAAAUAAAAAAACCAAAGAGAUGCAGAGAUUAUUGUGGCUAAUGACAUUUUUUUUUGUUUUUUCUUCGGCAUAUUCAUCACAAGUGCUCUUACCUAAUCGCAUCAAAUCACCUUAUUUCAGUGAGUAUUAUUGAUUUUAUUUACUAGCUGAUUCUGAUCAUUAUUGUUCGUAUCGAUCUCCAUGUGUAUAUUUUGAGUUAUUGACACAUGAGGAGAAUGACAAAAACAAAUCAAAUGUUAUCAUAAUUUUGUGAAACUAGAAUGUCAGACAACUCAUUUCCUUUUGUUAUGAAAAUUACUUAUAUUAAUUUCAUUUAUAAAUUUUUGUUUUCUUAUAGAUGAAAAAAUUGGAACACCGCAUAGUAAAUCGCCACCCGCGGCUGGUUGUGAAACACCGCAACAAGCACACACAAGAUCAUCGUGUAAAAGUAAGACGUCCAAAGGCAGUGGUGGUUAGACAUGCAUGUUUGAAAAACUGUUUAUAGUUUGCGUUAACGUUCUGCGGUUAUAAAUGUUAAUAAGUGUUUUUGUGCACCUGAUAUAAUAAAACCAAUGUUGUCAAAAAAAAAAGAAAAAGAAAUAAUAAAACCAAUUGUAGCUACGGCUUUUAACCGAGCACAAUCAAAUCGUCUUCCUUUUUUUGACAUCGCACGAUCAAAUCUUUUGAAAUUCUUAGUAUUUUCCAUAUGAUACAAUGUAUAUUAUAAUGUUUUCCGUAAUAUAUUUUUGCAUACCUAGAUAUGAGCUCUCUUUCACUAGCGAGCUAUGAUCUAAAUGUUGUUUAGAAUUCUUAGUAUUUUCUAUAUGAUGCAAUGUAUAUCAUUCAGUUUACUCAAACAUACAAACAUGUAAAUAUACGCAGGGCCGGCUCAAAACUUUCAUAGGUUCUGGGGCAAAAUUUAAAUAUACCCUUAAAAUAUAUAAUAUAUACAAUUUACUCUGAUAAAAAGUGUCAUUUAUCAUAUAAUUGAUCAAAACAAGUAAAUCAGGUUAACUAACAUGCUCUAUCAAAAAACUGAUGUCGUUAUUUAAAAAUACAAAAAUUAAUGUCAUCAUUGAAACAAAUCAUUUGACUAAGAAACUUUAUCAGCCAAUAACCACAAAUUGAUUUAAUAAAUAACAUAGCAUAACAAUCAUUAGAGCAGCCUCAAAGGUAAAAUCCUCUUUGGGUUUCUUAAAAGUAAAUAUAUUAGUUUUUAAACAAAAUUUUGUGAAAUAAUUUAUUUUAAUUUUGUGUUACAAAAUUUAACCAAAUCACAACUGACAUCUGGAUUCUAGAUUUUUUUGUGAGUUUUUCUGCAUCUGUUAAUUAAGAACCUCUUACAUUUUUCUCUUUUUAUUCAUAAUAUUUUUCUUUAUUUUUAAUCUUAAUAUACUCACUCAAGUUCUACCGUUGAAACUUCUCUUAAAGAUCGGUAACUGUUACAACGAUUUAAAAAAAAUAAAAACUCAUUAAAAUACUUGAUCUGUGUAAAACUGUAGCUGACAUUAAUUUUAAAAAAAUUGUGGGACUCUUUUUACACAUAGGGCUUGGCCCAUUGUUCGCCCCUGCACUUAAGCCGGCCUGGAUAUACGUUAAACGACCUUUAAUAUAUCAUAUUUCAAUUUACCAUUACGAUCAAAUAAUAUGGAGUAUGAAUGGUUGGAUAGCUUACAAGGUUUCUCGUAAAACUACAAAAAAAAUAUGUGCCAGUUUUACAUGACUGCAUGCUGGCAUCAAGUUAUCAACUUAAUUUUCUUUUUACUUAAUAGAAGAAGAUAUUGAAACACCAUGUAGUAAGCCGCCAUCUACGGGCCAAGGGAGUACCAAUCCGCAGACCACACGCAAAGCGGCAAAGGCAAACCAGUGUAAUCUAUAUAGUUUCCAGUGUAACCAUCAUUAUAAAACUUGAAUAAUGCCAUCAAAAGGAAAAAAACUUGACUGAUAAUGUUGAAGCUUUCGUCAACAAUGUGAUCGAUAUAAAUAGUGUACCCAUGCUUCUCGAUCAAGCGAUGAAUCCACAAUAUUUAACAAAUAAAGUAAACCCAAAAUGAUGCAGGGAAAAUUGUGACUGAUAACAAUCCUUUUUGUUUUUUUCCUUUUUGUUUUUUUCUCCAGCAUAUUUAUCACAAGUGCUCUUACCUAAUCACAUCAAAUCCCCUAAUUUCAGUCAGUAUUUUUGUCAAAUCCCCUAAUUUCAGUAAGUAUUACAUAAUCACAUCAAAUCCCCUAAAACGUUUAUCUGUUUUUGUUAUUCUGGUCAUAUUAACAUCUAAAUAAAAUUUGAAAGACAAAAAUAAUGAAGAUUGGUGUUAUGGCAUGUAGAAUAAAUAAAAAGUUGGUUAGGGGUUUUAAAUGUUAGGAUAGUUAAAUAAUACCAGAAAGCCAGAAAACAUGUUUCCCUUUUUUUUGUUACGACGAUUACUUGUAUGUCCUAUUUAUAUAAUUUAUAGAUGAAAUAAUUGGAACACCGCAUAGUAAAUCGCCACCCGAGCAUGGUUGUGAAACAUGGCAACGAGCACACAAAAGGCCAUCGUGUAAAAGUAAGCCGUCCAAAGGCAGUGUCGGCUAGACUGAGACAUGCAUGUUUCAGAAUGCAGUUUGUUUUAACGUUAUGCAGUUAUAAAUAUUAUUGUAGGCUCUGGAUCCGAAUGUUUACAAACCGCACCACAUUACGGUUAAUAGUAAUAAAAAAUUUUGUAUACAUAUAUCUCUAUAUGUUUUGUUGUUAUUAUGACUGUACUGCAAUUGUUCCGCAGUUAUUCCGCAUGUGAAUCCUUAGUGUUUUUGGCCACCAUGUAUCAUAAAUAAACCUAAUUGUAGCUAUCGGCUUUUUACCAAGCUUAAACAAAUCCUUUGAAAUUCUGAGUAUUUUCCAAACAAUAUAGUGUAGAUUAUAAUGUUCUUGGAAUAUUUGUAACAUUCCGAUUUAGUUGGCUUAAAAUUUGAACUAACUAUAUAUGUCGUUAAAAUAACUUAUCAAUUUUGUUUAUAAGAAUAUCAAAAUUGAAAAUGUUUGAUCUGAUAUAUCAAAAAAAUAAUUCAUAAUGUGAAUAAGUUCAAAUUACAUAUGAAUUUAUAUAGUAAUUAUACGGUUUUUUAACACAUAGUAAUUAAACAAAUAUUUUGAAUCUUCAAAAAUUAAUGCAUCCAUCGUGAACAUGGAUGGUGGAGCCCACAUACCAAAUGAACGGGUGUGGUGCCACUAGCGGAUUUAGACGAACAGGGGUGCUCUAAGAGCAUCAGCAGUGGUGCAUAAUGGUUGAGUCUCUUAACAAAGGUAAAAUAUUAUGGUUUAAUUAUAUAAUUAUAUAUUUUAAUUUUGUAAACAGUUAGAGCAUUUGGAAGCUGACACAUGGAGAAAAAUCUCUUCUAGUGAGACUUGAGUCUCUAUAUAACCACCAAUCGAUUCUUCUUUCUCUCUUACUUUUGCAUUUAAUUUCUAUUUAAUUUCUUUAUUUUCAGUUGUGAGAGACUUACAAAAACUAACCAAUGCGCAUGCUCUAAACUUUGCAUAGGAAUAAGAGUUAAGCUUUUUACUUUGCUACGACAGUAUGAUUUUACUUUCACUCAUCAUGAUCCAAACGUUAUUAGAUUUUUCAAUUUAGACAAAUUUAUAACAUGUCGCUAUUUCAUGAGAAAGAAACAAACGUGAUAACAACUAUAUCCAUACCAAUCAGGUACAUAAAUUUUAUAUAUUUGUAUGAACUUUGUUUUUCUUUUAACGAGCUAUCCAUUUCAAGAAAUAAUAUCAAUUCAGCCAUGCAUAAUUCAAUUUUUUUAAAUUGAUAACGUAUAAUGCAUAGACUAAUGUUGAGUAUAAGCAAUGUCAAGCAUGUGUCAUCUUGCCUACAUUUUUCAUCGUUAGCAAAUGUAAUACAAAGAACAUUAUUGCGUUUAUUUAUUUAUUUUUUAUAGUCGAUCAAAUAUGUAUUUAAUCUUUAAUUUACGAGUACAUUUUACGAAGUUCGAUCAAAUAUGUAUUUUUAUGUUUAUUUAUUUAUUUUUAACUGUAUAUUUAUUUUUAUUCCAAAGUUCAUUCACGCGCUAAACUCGUUAUGUAUAAAACAUACAUUUUGUUCUUCCUAACAUUUUAAAUAAAACAUCUCCGUAUCUUCCUCUCCAAGAUAACAUUUUAAUUAAGAGCUGAGAGUCUUUUCUCCAAUAUUUUACCAUCUCUCUUCACCUUUUUUUCUCUCCACUUUUAACUCGUUUCUAUUUUUUUAUUCGUGGAAUAUUGGGUGAGAGACCUUUGUUAAUGAUUCUCUCACAUUUUUGAUUCAUAUAAAUACACACAUAUCUUACAGAAACAAACGAAUAUAUCACACAAAAUAUAGAUGAAAUGAAGGGGAAGAUGUGGUUCAUUGCUUUAAUAUUGAUUCUUUCUUUGGUGUUCUCAUCACCGUAUAUGGUUUCGGCUCGGCCACACAAAAUCAGCAAACUCGGUGAGUAAUAUACAUACAGAAACAGGCUGUACAGACAGCUCUUUCUAAAUAUAGUUAAAGGAAUUAAAGACCAAUAUGUAUAUGGUGUGUUCUAUAUUUCCUUAUAUGACUAAGAAUUAAUAUUAACUUCUACAGGCUCAACUAUUUACAUACCGCCUAGCAGAUCAAAACCGGCCAAGGGUCAUGGCGGCAAGACGAACGGGUUAUAAAAAUUGUUUUUUUUUUCUUUUGUUAUAGCUUUCAGAAGACGAAAAAAAAUAGAGGAAAAAUGUGUCAAUUUAUAAAAAAAUUACGACAAAAUGAUCAACAAAGAAAGUUUAAGGAGCAUACAUAUAGCUCCGGAAGGAUAGAAACGCUCGAUUAUAUUUUUAUCCUCCAUCUCCAAAGCAGUAUCUGCAAACUUGGUUGUGCUGAUCUCCCUAAGGUACCUCAUCAUGCUAUUUGUUAUCUACCACAGUCUCACGAUCAAGAUACCCUUCUUACACUCUUGUUCUGCCAUUUUUGAUAACCCAAAUUGAUGGCUAACAUUGUAAUUUUCAACAUACAAGUAUUACGAAAAAAAAAAAGAGAAACUCAAAAGUCAACACCAGGUCAUUACAUUCAUUACAUUGAUUGUAUAUCACCAGCUGUGGUGAGAGCGACCUUGUAAUAUAUAAUCUCCGCCUAGCAGUCAUUACUAGUUCAUAAAAUGCUACUUUUUAUUUGUUUAGAAUAACUCCAAUGAAACUGCAAAAUACUAUUUUAGUGUGAUUUUUACACCAAAUCCUUUUUAAAGAAACUGCAAAAAUCACACUAUUUUAGUGAAACACUAAAAUUUGACACCAAAUUUAGUGUGACACUAUUCACCACGCUAAAACACUAUUCAUCCCACUAAAAUACUAUUCACUUAUUUUAUUACUAAAACAUACAAUUAAAUAAAUGAUAAAUAAAAAACUUAAUAUAUAUAAUAUUAUAAAAUAGUUUUAGUGUGAAGUUUAGUGUUAUGGUUGGAGAAGACUUUAGUUUUAUUGUUGAAAUUACACUAAAAUAGUGUUGUUUUGACACUAAAAUGGUACUAAUGGUUGGAGAUGCCCUUAUAAUCACAUUGUCUAUGUUUCUAACCAAUAUACAAAAGAAAAAGGAGCGAAAAGUAAAAUAAAAGGAGUCUUAGUUACAUUCAAUUACUUGCUAACGGCUCGUACUUACUAUUUGGUUAGUAUUUGACUGUAAAAUCGAAUAUUCCGCUUGACAAAGUAGAAUGUCAAUUCAUUUGUUUUAAUUAUUUGUGAGGACAAGAUAAAUACCAAAUAUUGAAAUAAAAUGAUACUUAGCGAUGUUUGUUUGUUAUUCGCUAUUACUUGUGAGCAAAAAAUAUAUUUAUAAAUUAUAGUAGAAAAGUCGUUUAUACCAUAAGUGAAUAAAAUAAAAUUAUAUAUGUAUAUAAAAUCUUACAAAAUUUCAUAUUUGAUAUAUGAUGAAUUUUUUUCUUCCCUCUCAAUUUAUCUCACAUUGAUUUUAAACAUGUAAAAACAGAUUGUUUAUAAAUAAAAAUAGUUUAAUUUGGAAUUAUAACCAACUAGACUUUCCUUAUAUCGAUGUGAAAAUUUGAAAUAAUUAAUACAAUUAAAUACUUACCACAUAACUUAUAAAUAGUAUCAAAAUAAUCUUUAUAAUAUUAUUUGAGAAUUCAGUCUACUACGUGUUGAUUUCACCUUAAUUCUAAAAGUGGUUAAUUACAUACAUAACCUUUGAAAAUUAAAAGUACUACUCAUAUAUAUCAUUAUUAAGAGUUUUUAUUAUAUUUAAUUUGUUUCUAAUAAUAUUUGAAAUUUUAAUUUCGUUUUAUAAUAUUGAAUUACAAACCAUAUAAAUAUAAAAGUGGAAAUAUCUUAAAAUGUUUUUAAUAUAAACUAUAUAUAUUAAUUAAAUGAAAGAAUAAAAUUUUAAAAAAAUAUAUAUAGACAAGGAGCCAAUUUCACCUAAAAUAUAAUUAAUAUACUAAAUGAUCAUAAAACCGAUCAUAAAUCAAACUGAUCUAUAUAACUCUAUUCAAAAUCAGAAGUUUAAUUGAAGCAACAAGACAUUAUUGUUUAGAAUAAUUUUAUAUUUAAUUGUUAUACAUGUAAUUAAAUUACAAAAUAACUUAAAAUAUAUAUAAAACAUAAUAUUAGUUAAUUGUUUUAAAUUUUAUAAAUAUUUAAAUCAGUAUAUUUCAAAAACUUGUUGGUUACCAGUUGUACAACCUCAAACCAAGGAAGAUUUCAUUUUUUCUAAAACUACAUCUAUGAAAUUAUAUAUAUAUAUAUAUAUAUAUAUAUAUAUAUUUGUGUGUGUGUGAAACAAAAAAAUCAACUAAAUACAGUUAACAAAAUUAGUCAAAUAUAGAAUGCAAGAAAUUAUUAUUUAGUUCAGAGUGAAAUAUAAAACUCAUUUUACGUGAAAUAACUAAACUAAUCAUCGAUUUUUUAAUACCAUGGUUAUAUGUUCAAUUAAGAUAAUAACAUAAAUUAAUCAAAAUAAAUAUUUUUACAUAUUUUGCCUACAUUUGUAUCAUAAACCAAUUUUAAUUAUAGAAUUAAAAUAAAAUACUAAAAAAUAAUUAUUGUAUUUUUCUUAUAUUAUAAAUAUAUAUAUAUAUAUAUAUAUAUAUAUUCGUGCAUGCGCUCGGAAAAAUUACCUAGUUUGUAAAUAAAUUUUAGAUAACAAGUAAUAAAAACAAUUUACAAGUAACCAAGCGAGGACGGUCCAGCGGUCUUGAGGGAGCUUUGGCCCCAAUACGAAUCCGGGUUCGAAUUCCGCUGGCCACCGUCGAUUAAAAUGGGGUGAAAAAGGCGGUCCUCCAGGAUGCUUUCUGCGGAGGUGUACUUAGGCGUUAGUCGGAUUCCCUCUGGGGUGUCCGAAUUACCUGGAUUAUCAAAAAAAAUUACAAGUACACUGUUUUUAACAAGUACCGGCCUUUAAGACAUGAUUAUUGGGAGUCCUUGCUAUUGAGUCCUUAAUACACAUAUAUUUAUAUGUAUAUAUUAUAUAUGCAUAUAUAAUUGCGGGUUAAGGAAUUUACGGAAACCCAAAAAUAAGAACCCCCAAUAAUCAUAGCCUUAGUACACCAAAUGUAUGCUUAACAGAAGUUUUGCUCUGUGAAAUCCAUUUUCGCACUCUUGUUACUCCGUCGUCGUAGCUGUCCUUGCUCUGUGAAAUCCAUUCUUAGAGACUUUCCUCUACUACUCUUAUUGAGUUGAUUAACAGAAGUUUUCGAAGAUUACUCAGAAUCAAAAAGUUUCAAGAUUUCAAUUCAAGUCAUAGUGUUACUGUUACCAUACCGUUUGCCCUAUGAAAGAUACAAGAUUAGGUUAAAACUGUUUAAAGCUUUUUUACUCUGAGAUAUCCAUUUCAAGCAAUACUAUCAAUUCAAACAAUGUCAAGCAUAACAAUUUUCUUAUGAGCUAGUCAAACUAUAGAUUUAUUCUUCUUAACAUUGUAAAUCAAACUUCUCCGUAACUUCCUUGGAAAAAUUCCUCUCCAAGAUAACAUAUGAAUCUAUUUAUAUGGAAAGACCAUUUAUAAAAAGAUGAACCCUCGGCUAAGGGGUCAUAGCGGCUACUAGAUGAACCGAUUGUAAAAAUUGUUUCGUUUGUAUCCUUUGUUAUACUUAUAGCUUUCAAAAAUGUGUCCAUUUAUAAAAAGAAAAAUCUCGACAAAAAUUAUCAACAAAGGAGUAGAAACACUCGAUUAAUCGCUUUAAGGUACCUCGUCAUGCUAUAUUUGUCACUUGUCAGCCAUCACAGCCUCACGAUCAAGAUACCAUUCUUACACUAUUGUUCUGUCAUUUUGAUAACCCUCCGUCCCUCCCCCUUCAUAGUUAGCUAUGUGUAUUGUGCUGUGCGACAUUUUGAGUGUGUGUGUGUUGUUCACUUCUUCAACCCUGUCCAAACCCCUCAAAUCUGGGAGGCCAUAUACAUUUUACGAUAAUCAUUUAUAAGAAAAUUUAUAUUUACAAUUUAAGAACCAUAUAGAUCUUUCACUCAUCAUGAUCUAAACGUGGUUUUGAGUUUUCAAUUUAGACAGAUUUAUAUUUAGAUGUCGAUGUAUCAUGCGAAAGAAACAAACAUGAUAAAAUGCCAAUCUGAUACUUUAAUGUUACAGUAUUCAAAAUGUGUAUAUGAUCAUUUUGUUUUUCUUUCAACGAGCUAUCAAUUUCAAGAAAUAAUAUCAAUUCAGUCAUGCAUAAUCCAAUUUUUAAAAAUUGAUAACGUAAUACAAGGACGACUUGUGAGUAGAAACAACGUCAAGCAUGCAUCUCGACUACAUUUUUCAUCGUUGGCAAAUGUAAUACAAAACGAACAUUGCAUUAGAUAUUUUACUUAGAAAUUUCGUAAUAUUUGCGUAUGAGCUGAACUAUUUGAAUAGAAAUAGCGAGUCAAUCAUCCCCUUAAAAUCAUAAGAAUCAGAGACCUAGUCUUCUCUAAUUCUGUCUCGGUAUUUUAUGUUUAUUUUAGUUUAAAGAUUAUCAAACUUCUCCAUAACUUCCUCCCCGAUAUAAUAUGUGAAUCAUAAAAGGAGCAAUAUCUGGAGAGACUUUGUCUCAUCAACUGUUUAAAUUAAAAUUAUGAAUGAAAUUUCCGAGAGCCCCAUCUGAUUAGUUAUUGAUAUAUGAUUUAACUUAUUCACAUCUUUUAUUCAUAUAAAUACACACAUAUAUACGUAAGCGUUACAUAUCAACACAAAAGAUAGAUGAAAUGAAGAUGAACAUGUGGUUCACUGCUUUACUUCUGAUUCUUUCUUUGGUUUUCUCAUCAUCUUAUAUGGUUUCGGCUCAGCCAUACAAAAUCCGCAAACUGGGUUAGUAAUAUACAUAUAGAUCAGCUCCAUCUAAAUACAGUUCAUGAAAUCUACCCAAUAUUGUAUAUGGUGUGUUAUAUAUUUCCUUGUAUGAAUAAAACUAAUUUUUAUUCAUACAGGCGCAACCAUUGAAACACCGCCUAGUAGAACACCACCGGCGGGGAAACAUGGCGGCAAGAGGAACCGGUUAUAAAAAUUGUUUAUUUUUCUUUCUUGAUCAUUUUUGUCGAGAUUUUUUUCCUCUUUUUUUUCUUCUUCUGAAAAGCUAAGUUUAAGGAGCGUAUAUAUGAGAGGAUAGAAACACUCGAUUAUAUUUAUACCUGCAUCUCCAAAGCAGUCUCUGCAGCAAGCUCGCUUGUCUGAGUUGUCUUGAUCACCCUAUAAGGUACCUCGAUAUGCUAUUUGUCACUUGUCAGCCACCACAGCCUCACGAUCAAGAUACCUUUAUUACACUCUUGUCCUGUCAUUUUUGAUAACCCAAAUUGAUGGUAAACACUGGAAUUUUCAACAUGCAAAAGAAUAAGGUGAAAAAUAUGAGAAACUAAAAAGUCAACAUGCUUUCAAAAAAAACAACAACUAAAAAGUCAACAUCCGCUCAUGUAGCAUUACGUUGACUUAUCACCAACCUUGGUGAGAGACUGAGAGCGACCUGGUGAUAUAAUAUCUAUUAACCUUUUUUUCCUAUUGUCUAAUAUUAACUACUUUAUAAAAUACUAAUUUUUUGUUUAUUUAUUUAUACUUGGCAUGAACAAUUACGUUGUCCAUGUUUCUAACCAAUAUACACAAGAGAAAGGAGCGAAAAUAAAAGAAAGAGAAUCUCAAAAGUACAUGCUUCUAACUUCAUGGAUAGAAAUAUUUUGUAGGGGGCAAAACUAAAAUUAUCUAAAAUAUUAAGGGUAAAUUACUAUAAACAAAGGGGCAUAAUUGAAAUUAUUCCGUGUUUCACAUAGAAUUUUGAAAUAUUAUUGGGGGCAUGCCACCCCCUGUUAUGUAGCCACUGAUUCGCAUCAUUUUUUAUUUGGAUGACACGAUUAAUUAACAAAAAAAAAAUGAUAAUCACGUUGAUAUAAUAAGUUUUUAAAUGACAGUAAUGACUGAUGUUUCGACAUCUACUUGCAUGAACCUAACUGUCAUACUUUUUUUUUGUUAAAAUACCUAACUGUCAUACUUGCAUGGAACCUGCAGGUUUGUUCCUUGCAAAACAAAAUUAUACGGUAUUUAGCAUUUGCAACUGCAUCAUCUAAAGUCUUGUUUAUACUAUCCAAGAUUGUAAACAAAGAUUGGGGACUUUCAAGAUCAUAAAUCAAAUAUAAAAAGUGAUGAUGAUAGAUCCAUCACAUAUCUACAAAUAUGACAGUAGAAUACUCAAGUUCAACAUAUUGGCGAAAUAUGGGGUUGACGAGAAAUGAGACUUGCCUUGGUCUUGGUUGGCAUGUAGAAAGGUUAGUGUCCAGAAGUAACCAAGUCGUGUUGAGUAGCCAAGUGUCUGCUCAUUAAAAGGAAAACAUUGUUCACCAGGGAUUACAUGUGACAGCUGAUUGUAGGAGAUUGGUAAGUACAAUAGCAUUCUUUUCUUUUUAUACCCAAUCAUAUCUUACACUGAAGAUUUUAAUUAGGAAUGAUUAAAUUUUGGAUGAUGGAAUAACAAAGAAAGGCCAAAAGAGGCCAAGACCAUCAAAACUCAGAUUCUACUGAAGAACUCAAACAGAGCAAGUAUAAACCCAUAAAAAGGUAAAGAAAAGAACUUUCAUCUGCCUAAAAUACCAACAUAAAUGAAAACAAAUCCCACCCUGCUUUUAUCUCCUUUUUUUCUCUACUUCUUCCCACUAUUUAGCAGGUCAUACAAGCAAUUUUACAGGGAGGAGCAACAGAUAAUGAAAAAUUGAAAAAAAAAA